rnacentral:rRNA from 1 species
GACGUAGGGUGCAAGCGUUGUCCGGAUUUACUGGGCGUAAAGAGCGCGUAGGCGGUCUGUUAAGUGUGGUGUGAAAUCUCCAGGGCUCAACCCGGAAACUGCACCGCAUACUGGCAGACUGGAGGAAUGCAGAGGUGAGUGGAAUUCCUGGUGUACCGGUGAAAUGGGUAGAUAUCAGGAGGAACACCAAUAGCGAAGGCAGCUCGCUGGGACGGUACUGACGCUAAGGCGCGAAAGCGUGGGGAGCGAACAGG